rnacentral:rRNA from 1 species
UACGUAGGGGCCGAGCGUUGUCCGGAGUUACUGGGCGUAAAGCGUGCGCAGGCGGUUUUGUAAGUCUGUCGUGAAAUCCCCGGGCUCAACCUGGGAAUUGCGAUGGAGACUGCAAGGCUAGAAUCUGGCAGAGGGGGGUAGAAUUCCACGUGUAGCAGUGAAAUGCGUAGAGAUGUGGAGGAACACCGAUGGCGAAGGCAGCCCCCCUGGGUCAAGAUUGACGCUCAUGCACGAAAGGCGUGGGGAGCAAACAGG